CAGUAGCCACGGGAAUACGGAGGGGGCUAGCGUUGUUCGGAAUUACUGGGCGUAAAGCGCACGUAGGCUGCUUUGUAAGUCAGAGGUGAAAGCCCGGGGCUCAACCCCGGAUGUGCCUUUGAGACUGCAGGGCUAGAACGUGAGAGAGGUAAGUGGAAUUCCGAGUGUAGAGGUGAAAUUCGUAGAUAUUCGGAAGAACACCAGUGGCGAAGGCGGCUUACUGGCUCAUACUGGACGCUGAGGUGCGAAAGCGUGGGGAGCAAACAGGAUUAGAGACCCCGGUAGUCCCUGUCUCUUAUAC
rnacentral:rRNA from 1 species